CUUGCUUUCUCUCCCUCUCUCGUUCUGGAAAUGCCAAGCAGUUUCUCUGAGCUCCAUUUACGCAAAUACGCACGACUGUCCCGAGCAGCGCGCGGUCUUUGGAACAGUAUUCGGACACUCGGAAGCAGAAAACACACGUGUGUUUGUGUUCGGGAGAAAAGUCGAACCCAAGUCAGGUUAGAAUCAGGAAGUGGGAGGACCCGAUCGUUGAGCGAGGAUCGCUGGGGCAGCCGUUGGAUGAAUGGGAGUUUGUCUGAAGCUUGGAGCGGAUGAGGAGAGGCUCUGUCGGCGACGGAACCGUCAGCAACCACAGGACAUACGCUUUUACCAGCUGAACAUAUAAUGAAUGUGGAGUCCCCUUUUGGCUCAAGGGCUCUGAUGCAAGCUCAGAGAAAUUCUUCAGCACUGUUGCAGUUAAAGAAAUAUACAGGAUUCAAAGAAAGGGCCCGAGGGUCAGUCGGAUUAAUCCUGACUACAGUGUUAACCCAGCAGCCACGACCCCCACCUCUGUGCUGUUAGUUAGCAGCUCAAACCUGAC
ensembl:lncRNA